rnacentral:rRNA from 1 species
AUUGAACGCUGGCGGCAGGCCUAACACAUGCAAGUCGAGCGGAUGAGGGAAGCUUGCUUCCCGAUUUAGCGGCGGACGGGUGAGUAAUGCCUAGGAAUCUGCCUAUUAGUGGGGGAUAACGUUCCGAAAGGAACGCUAAUACCGCAUACGUCCUACGGGAGAAAGUGGGGGAUCUUCGGACCUCACGCUAAUAGAUGAGCCUAGGUCGGAUUAGCUAGUUGGUGGGGUAACGGCUCACCAAGGCGACGAUCCGUAGCUGGUCUGAGAGGAUGAUCGACCACACUGGAACUGAGGAACGGUCCAGACUCGUGCGGGAGGCAGCAGUGGGGAAUAUUGGACAAUGGGGGAAAGCCUGAUCCAGCCAUGCCGCGUGUGUGAAGAAGGUCUUCGGAUUGUAAAGCACUUUAAGUUGGGAAAGAAAUGGCUCUGGUUAAUACCUGGGGUCGAUGACGGUACCGGAAGAAUAAGGACCGGCUAACUACGUGCCAGCAGCCGCCGUAAGAC